GUGAGGAAUAUUGGUCAAUGGGCGGGAGCCUGAACCAGCCAAGUCGCGUGAAGGAAGAAGGAUCUAUGGUUCGUAAACUUCUUUUGCAGGGGAAUAAAGUGCAGGACGUGUCCUGUUUUGUAUGUACCCUGAGAAUAAGGAUCGGCUAACUCCGUGCCAGCAGCCGCGGUAAUACGGAGGAUCCAAGCGUUAUCCGGAUUUAUUGGGUUUAAAGGGUGCGCAGGCGGGUUGAUAAGUCAGCGGUGAAAGUUUGCAGCUUAACUGUAAAAAUGCCGUUGAAACUGUCGGACUUGAGUGUAAAUGAGGUAGGCGGAAUGCGUGGUGUAGCAGUGAAAUGCAUAGAUAUCACGCAGAACUCCGAUUGCGAAGGCAGCUUACUAAGCUACAACUGACACUGAAGCACGAAAGCGUGGGGAUCAAACAGGAUUAGAAACCCGAGUAGUCC
rnacentral:rRNA from 1 species